GAAAAGCACCCCGGAAGGGGAGUGAAAUAGAACCUGAAACCGUGUGCUUACAAGUAGUCAGAGCCCGUUAAUGGGUGAUGGCGUGCCUUUUGUAGAAUGAACCGGCGAGUUACGAUUUGAUGCAAGGUUAAGCAGUAAAUGUGGAGCCGUAGCGAAAGCGAGUCUGAAUAGGGCGUUUAGUAUUUGGUCGUAGACCCGAAACCAGGUGAUCUACCCUUGGUCAGGUUGAAGUUCAGGUAACACUGAAUGGAGGACCGAACCGACUUACGUUGAAAAGUGAGCGGAUGAACUGAGGGUAGCGGAGAAAUUCCAAUCGAACCUGGAGAUAGCUGGUUCUCUCCGAAAUAGCUUUAGGGCUAGCCUCAAGUGAUGAUUAUUGGAGGUAGAGCACUGUUUGGACGAGGGGCCCCUCUCGGGUUACCGAAUUCAGACAAACUCCGAAUGCCAAUUAAUUUAACUUGGGAGUCAGAACAUGGGUGAUAAGGUCCGUGUUCGAAAGGGAAACAGCCCAGACCACCAGCUAAGGUCCCAAAAUAUAUGUUAAGUGGAAAAGGAUGUGGCGUUGCCCAGACAACUAGGAUGUUGGCUUAGAAGCAGCCAUCAUUUAAAGAGUGCGUAAUAGCUCACUAGUCGAGUGACACUGCGCCGAAAAUGUACCGGGGCUAAACAUAUUACCGAAGCUGUGGAUUGUCCUUUGGACAAUGGUAGGAGAGCGUUCUAAGGGCGUUGAAGCAUGAUCGUAAGGACAUGUGGAGCGCUUAGAAGUGAGAAUGCCGGUGUGAGUAGCGAAAGACGGGUGAGAAUCCCGUCCACCGAUUGACUAAGGUUUCCAGAGGAAGGCUCGUCCGCUCUGGGUUAGUCGGGUCCUAAGCUGAGGCCGACAGGCGUAGGCGAUGGAUAACAGGUUGAUAUUCCUGUACCACCUAUAAUCGUUUUAAUCGAUGGGGGGACGCAGUAGGAUAGGCGAAGCGUGCGAUUGGAUUGCACGUCUAAGCAGUAAGGCUGAGUAUUAGGCAAAUCCGGUACUCGUUAAGGCUGAGC
rnacentral:rRNA from 1 species